AGCACUCCUACUCGGUUGCUUUAUGAAUACAGACCUAUAAAUGAUAGAAAAGCAUCUUAGAUGACAGCUUUUUAAUAUGGCCCAUGUUAAACAACAACAUUAAAAACAACUCCACUUAAUGCUUGUCUUUACCAAUCCUGUACCAAUCCUGUACCAGUCCUGUACCAAUCCUGCACCAAUCCUGUACCAGUCCUGCACCAAUCCUGUACCAAUCCUAUACCAGUCCUGUACCAAUCCUGUACCAAUCCUGUACCAAUCCUGUACCAGUCCUGUACAACCCUGUACCAACCCUGUACCAACCCUGUACCAGUCCUGCACCAAUCCUGUACCAGUCCUGUACCAAUCCUGUACCAGUCCUGUACCAUCCUGUACCAAUCCUGUACCAGUCCUGUACCAAUCCUGUACCAGUCCUGUACCAAUCCUGUACCAGUCCUGUACCAAUCCUGUACCAAUCCUGUACCAGUCCUGCACCAAUCAUGGAUGGAAUGGAUCCUCUGUGCCAUAAUAACUGAGAGAGAGAGAGACACACGGGUCUGUUGGGUCGAUAGAACCACUAAAGACAACAUUAAAGAGAGAUGUCAAACAUUUUUUUUACAACUUCAAAUUCAUCAUCUCCAUCACCACCUCAACGUCAACGUGUGAGAAAAUGACGCGUUUCUAUUUUUGUUGUUGUAGUAAACAAUAUAAUUACGAGCGUUGCCAAUGACAUGCAAUGGCUCCUCCAUAAUUGUUUAAAAUCACAUGAUGCACACUGAUGAUGUCAUUGGAGACACUUGUCUUCUUCUUUAAAGAAGAAAGGCUUCAUUUACACACAUGUUGAUGUUGGUGCUGCAUGAUGAAUAUAAAAUAUAAAUAUUUGGAAACAUUAAUACAUUUUUUUAUUUUAUUUAUUUUUUUAUUUAACUGACUUGCCUAGUUAAAUAAAGGUUAAGAACAAAUUCUUAUUUACAAUGACGGCCUAGGAACGGUGGGUUAACUGCCUUGUUCAGGGGCAGAACGAUAGAUUUUUACCUUGUCAGCUCGGGGAUUCCAUCUUGCAACCUUCCGGUAACUGGCCCAACGCUCUAACCACUAGGCUUACCCUGCCGAUUAGUGUAUCUAUCUAUUAUAUAUUUACAUAAUACUCUGGUAGAUAUUGGUGAUUGGUCUAUCUAUAUAUUUACAUAAUACGCUGGUAGAUAUUGGGAGAAGAAGACUAAUUCUUGCUAAUAGAAAAUGUUGAAAUGUACCUACCUGAUGCCAUUUAUUCAGUAAUAUAAUAUAUAGUAGAUGAUGGUAAGCUGAAGAAGCAGCACGAACAUGUCAACUUUACUGAGCACUGCUGUGCCCGUUAAUACAAAACCUGUUGAAUGAUCUACAGAACACAUUCAGAACCCAAAGAGAUAAGCAUUACGAAAUGCUUAUGUAGUGCUUAUGAAUGUUUUAUGGAUGGGUUAUGAAGUCCUUAUGUAGGUAGUACCCUUCAAGUAAAAUGUUGCCUGCCUUUUUCCAUAUUCAUAAUUACAUCUCUUAUUGACAGAGGGUCAGAAGGACUGGGUUGUGUUCAUUUGGGCACCAAACGGAAGAAAACAAAUUGAAAACGGGGUGGCACUAACUUGUUCAAUGAGAAAUGCACUUUUUUUUUCUCUUUCCGUUUGCAAUUUUUUUUUUUUUUUAAACCUUUUUAUUUUUUAUUUUUUUCAUUCUGUGCCCUAAAAAACAAGAGCUUGUCAUAAGUGGGCGCAAGUCAACAUUAUAAGUCAGUCAUUACAGAAUACAUAGUCUAUGACCAUUGGAACAAUGGAAACAUGCUACUUUACCUGUCGUUGUCCAUUUGUGAUGGGUGAAAGCGAAGGACAUUAAGACGGCACAGCAGGAUGUGCAUGUACAUUAUUGUAAAAUGUAAAGCAUACUGUAUUUUCAACUCUUAAGUUGUUUUUCGGCAUUUCUGUUUUUGUUUUGUGUUGACCUAAGUAAUGAACUGAAUUAACUGAAGGAAGUAUGACCGCGCUCUGUGCUACAGCGUUGGAACGUGUUGGUCUGAGCAAAUCCUGUUGCCGGGGAAAUGUGAUUUUAGUAAUGUUAUCGUUUAUGAACGAAUCUGUUACGAUUGAAAUGGAUAUGACUCGUCACUGUGGUUUCAUCUUCGCCAAUAAGGUUAUUUUCAUAUUGUUAAAGGCUUUCGUAGCUUCCCAUGCCAGUUGAAAAAUAAAGGUGUUGAACUGAA
ensembl:lncRNA